GCGCCUCCAUAUAAACCCCACCCAGCCAACCCCUAGCGCAGACGGCGGCGAGCUGGGAUGGAGCGCGCCUUGGCUCACUAGCCUGGCGCAGCUCCUCCGAAGAGCUGGGGCACCCACGCAAGCCUUCCUCACUUGGGAUGUCUCUUCAGGGAUGACAUCAUGGACUCAUCCCCCCACCCUCGUUCUCAAGGACCACCUCCCCUGGAUGCCAAGCUGCUGCCAGGUGCCAGCUGCCUGCCUCCACCUCCUCCUCAAGACGGUCUUCAUUUGCAUAUGUCACUCAGAGCCUGGAUUCCUGGACCCGACUGGCCUACCCACCAGCCACCAGCAGACCCUUGAGGUCCAGCCCCUGGAAGGACAGGAUGAAGACACCUGGAAGUGACCAGCAGCUGUCCCUUGGAGCUAGAGACGUAACCCAGUGCCCUAGUGAGGGGGCACUGGGCCUUCCCCUCUGUCUUGGCCCUGCCUGUGGCCUGACUCCGCCUCCUGUCCUGUGUGUCUCUGCUUAUGUUGCCUGCUGGGCCACUGGUGCUUCCCUCCCCCAGGGUCUUCAGUGUCCCCUGACUGACUGCGUUGCCUCAAGCUGUCCCAAGUGGAGGGGUCCCUCUGGGAAUUCCUCAGGAGGGGGACCUGGGCCAAGAGCAACUCCAGGCUCUGGGUGGUCUUGCGGAAUGAGCAUGUGACUGAUUGCCGAUGGCAUGCCCACCUCUCCCAGGACCUCCCUGUCCUUUCUCGGGGAGCAGGGACGCCGGGGCCACCCCCUAGGUCGUUGUGAGAAUUAAAUGACUUAAAGCAGCUCAGGUCUAGGCGGGUGUAGGGCAAGCGGUCAGCAAAUGUUUGUUGAGGAGCCUGCCGGGUUCUUCCCGUCCCACCGUGCUCCAGGCUCUGUCUUACUUGUUGUUCUUAUUCUCCCGCAGACUCCUGACAGCCCCUGUCAUGGGGUCUCCUUGCAUCGGGCAGGGGCGCCACAGAGACACCGGCCAGAGGGCAGACUUGAGUAAGAUCGUGAAUUACACACACUCUCAUUUCCAGAGCACUUUCUAUGUAACACAAAUGCACAGUUCCUCCAGGGUCUCCACAUGUCACUGGGCGGCCUUGCUCUCAGGCCAGGCUCAAUUUGGUCUCGCUUUGCUUAAUUUGAAAAAGGUAGGUGGGAAAGAGGACCUGAGCCGAGAGCCCCCUCCCACAGGGUAGGUCCACACAUACAGGAGGAAGGGGAGGCAUGUGAGUGUUUUGUCCACUGCCAGUGAGCGAAGUGGUCAGAGCUGGGCUUCGGGUGCUGCCAGUGACCCUCCUGGCGCCCCUGACCCAGAGUUCUUUUAUUCCCAAUCAAACAUUUGACGGCGGGGGAAGCCUGUCUGAAAUCCCAGGGGUCCAGGGUGGUUUGGGGGGACUAGGUGACCCCAAGGCCUGUUCCAUGCGCUGGCAUCACCUCUUAAUAAUGGUGUGACCGUAAACAAGUCGCCUGGCUUCUCUAGCUUUCAGUUUCCCUCGUGGCCUCAAUGGGGAUUUAAGAACCAAAAAAGAAAAAAAGACCAAAAACAACAAAAAAACCAAACCCCCAAACCCUAGCCCUGCUUUUCUCUACCUCAAGGCUGCUUGGGGGAGCCACAUGCUGUAGCUACCGUGAAAGUGCUUUGUAAAUUGCUGUGGAAAUUGUGGGACACUUAACCCCAGGCUGUCUGUCUCUUGGUGUCCCCUGGCCAGCCGGCACCCAGUAAAUUCUCUGGGUGUUUGCGCUCCACAAAUACAUUUCAGAAUCAAUCAAAGUGGAAUUAAUUCAGCAAACAUUUUCUGAACUGCUGACAAUAUGCCUACUGUGCCAGGCUAGGUGGAGGACAGGAAGAUUAAUGCAAACGGUCUCUCGUAGCUAAUUGGGUCCUCAUUUGGCUAGUACUUUCUUUGGUCUCUCUUUUUUUUUUUAAGCCAACCAGUUUUGUCCGGACAAGACAAAAACAACUCUGGGUUGCUUUAGAGAAGCCCAGCUUGUGUGGACAAUAGCGGCCCAGCGUCUGAAAGGGCCUGAUUGGAUUAUGUGGCAAAUGGAGGUGGAAGGGUGACUUGGGAGGUAACAAAUGUAGUGGGUGGGGACCCGCUUUGAGUUAAUUCAGGCCAUUAGGAGGGAACCUUUUGUCUUCCAGAGACUGGCAGGAGCUUUCACUGCUGGUUUUUAACAUCCUGAAUGUUCAGGACAUGUAAUUCACGGCCGGUGACCAUCCAAGGCCCGGUGAGAGGCCGGUGGGUGGUGAGACAGAGGGGUGCUCCUGUGAAUGACGAGAGUGGGGCUCUGGCCCCUUUUGCGAUCGUGCACUCAUUUGAUCCUCACAACUCCCUGUCCUGACCCAGGGCCGGCCUGCCACCACCCAGGGACACAGAGGCUGUCAAGUGGCUCCCCAGGUCCCCAUUGCCUAUGAUUCAACAGUAGAUGUGAACCCGUCUCCGGCCUGCACCUCCAUCCUUGCCUCCUCCUUGUCCCAACUCUGUUCUCCCCGCAGCCUGGUGUUCCAGGUCCCUCCUGUCCCCUUCUGGCCACUCCAGUCUCUCUCUUUCCUUCGCAGCCCGGCUUCUCGAGGGGCCCUGUCUCCACUGCUUUCCUUCCUCACUCCAUCUCCUCUUCAACCCAUGCCUCCUGACCCGCUCUGCUCCGCCCGGCGGCGCUCGCUCAGGUUCUCCUGCUGGGGGCCCCAUCUCCCAGGGGCACCACACUCCGCAGAUGCCUCCUCCCAGGGACCCGCCUCCAGGGUCCCACUGACCAGGGACUGCAGUGACCCUCGGUCCUCACGCCAUGCCCAUCCCGCCACCAUGUCCCCGAGGUUUUGGGCUCAGUGCUGCCAGGCAUCCUGCUGACUACUUGGUGUUGGUUUUGGGGGGUGCCCCUUUAUCCUGCCUUGACUCGACCCCCAUGGAGACCCCACGCUGCCUCAAAGCAAACCUCAGCUGGCCUUGUCCACUGGGGCUGUGACCUUGGCUGGUCAGGCUGAAGGACUUCGGACAAGAAGGAGCAGCGGACCCCCAGGAACUCACCGCCAGGACUUCAGUCUCCAUGAGCCCCCGCCUCCUUCCGGAUCAGGCCGAAGCCAUCACCGGGAAUCCCGCGUGGGACAGGACCUCGGACACCCCGGACACCCCGACACAGCACCGCAGCGCCCCCCAUCCCUGAAUCUCUUUGUAACCUCCCCGCGACGGCCUCCAUUGAAUGGCACCAUUUGCAGAACCAUCCUGCUGGCCCUACGCAGAAGCCGCCUUCUUUCUCGGUGUGACAGAGCGCGUCCCAACUAACGGCUUUGCACCUCCACCUCCACCUCCACCUCCCCUGGCACCCCGUCUUCCUGCAGCGCUUCCCCACACCCAGAAAUGACUGAUUCCUUCCACACCAGUUUCUCCUGCUAGACUGUGAGCCCCUGAGGGGCAGGGACGUCAGAGGGGUCUUUGUACCUCGGGUGCACGACCUGCCGUGGGCCGUGGGUCCAUAUCUGCCGCGUGACAGGGUGGGAGGGUGGAUGCUGACGUGAGUGGUCGGCUGAGAGACGGGAGGACGGAUAGAUGAGCGGAUUGGUGAGCGAGCCCGUGCGUGAUUCGUGAACUUUUGGUGUUGAGCUUCCUGCAUGAAAAGCCGGAGAGUUUUAUUGGAUGUUAGUGAAUUCUAGAAGCUUUCACGAUGCCUGCAAUGUAUUAACAAUCUUUUCAGGUUUCUGUUUUUCUGUGUUAACAAGUGCUUUGGCAUCAGUUUAACUUGCUAUAAUCACUAACGAAGGUUGAAUAUUUCCCCUGCCUGUAUUUGUUAACAAAUUGUGAACUAUUUGUCCACAUCACCUGGGUCAUGGCUUUCUGCAAAGGCUGGUCAAGGUGUCCUUAGGGUGUCCUUAGGGUGUGGGGAGUCUCCUGGUCACUGAGGUGUCCGAGGAGCUGGCCAGGCAGCUGUUUGAGGAGGACAGGUUAGUGGAGAUUCAGAUAGUGGUGCGAGGGUGGCCCCAGCUGCCUUUCCAGCCCGUUGGACCUUACAAUUUGCGGGUCCCUGGGAACCGAGUGAUGGUGACAGGGAGACCUUCCCCCAGCUGUCAGGGAGGCGACAGUUACGGUCAUAGGCCUCAGGUGUGCUUGAGCCCCAGUGUCACCUCUUCAGCUUGUGACUCAGUGAUAACUCUUUGAUGGCCCCACCCCAAGGUCCAGAAAGUCACCCCAGUACCUGCAGUCCUGUGGGCAAGCAUGCAUGGCCCUGUCACCUUCCCCGCCAGUCUUCAUGGACGCCAGGCCCCGGCCCCUCCAUUUCCCACUUCUUAGGGGAAUUGGCCGCCACUGUCCCACCAGACGUCAGCCGGUUUCCCCGAGGCCUGGCCUUCGUGCUGGUCGUCGGAGUCCUCCGUGCUGGUCGCUGAGUGGAGCAUUGUGGGUCAGGCUUUCCAUUUCUUUCCAUGGGUGCAAUUCAUGAUCUGAGGAGCCUACGGCUCCUGCAUGCACACCCCAAAUGCAUGCCAAGACUCCAGGGUCCCUGCUGCCCCUCGGGAGGGGACAUUCCCGGAGGAAGGAAGGCUCACCCUGCCUUCCAACACCCUCCUCUGUCGGCGGAGAGCUGCUUUCCCCGCCACCUGUGCUGAGCCCUGAGCACGGCCUGCCUGGGUCAGACCCUCCCGCCCGUGUUUAUCGGGCCUUGGAGCUCGGGAGGUGACUGGACCUUUUCAGCAUGGCCUUCAUAUGUCCACUCACACCGUGGACUUGCCCCGGCUUCCUUUGCAUGCUGCUUCUCCCCUGCAUGCUGCUUCUCUACCAUCGCACACCGUGACUGUGAGCCCAGCCCAGGUCUGACAGUGGCCAGGGCAGGGCGCCCCUCCCCUCCGGGGAAGAUGCCCCCGUCCCCGCCUGGCCCAUGGUGCCCCUGCCACCAGCUCUGCCCUCACUCAGCCUUGUGGCUGCCCCCAGAGGUUCAACCACAUCCAUCCCCGCGUCCCCUUGCCCUCGACAGACAUCUGAAAACAUGAGCCAGUGCUAUGGUAGAGCCCGCCCCCGAGGCUUCCUCCCAGCCUAGCGCUUUGGAGGCAGAGAUGACCCUGUUUGGAGAGGGGCUGUGUUUGUGUGUCUGAAACAAAGUGGGAACCUUGAUUUAGCUCUGACUUCUAGAUCCGAGUUCCACUGCAAAUGAUUACUCUCUCCAAGUUCAUUCCUUACAAGAGUAGGUUGAUUAGUAAUCAGCAAACUCUACUCCCUGGAUGUUGGGAAGCAUAGACUAUAUCCUUGAGAGGUGGGUGGAGAGCUUGGGGCUUGUGAUGAACAGGGUUUUGAGGGACCAGGACACCUUGAUCUUAAUGGAGGUGACCCGAGGGUCCUUCCUUCCCCUUUUUAGAUUAGCUGUGCUCUUUUAGAGCAGAUCUUGGGCCAUGAUGCUUGGGUAGGUGACAGGGAUCACCCCCCAGGAAGGAGUCUGAGCAGAGUAGUCUGCUGGCAGACCUGGCAUCCGAGGCGCUCGGAACCUGGCCAGCUUUGAGGUCAUCCUGCAGGGUUUGUGGAGGUCUCAUGAGAGGGGGCUGUGCUAAAAUUCUGAGUCUGAGUCCUUGCUUGAGGCAAGGCUGUAACCAGUGAAGCCAGGACCCCUGUGUUGGACAAAUUGUGUGGUUUAACCUGUCUGUGAAAGUCUAAAGCUGCCUUCUUGGGGGUGGGGCGGGGACGCCCACCUCGCAGGGUUGUUGCGAGGAGGGAGCGGUGUAUCUGGAACUCUGUAACUGUUCUGCAAGGUGGUGUGUGUGUCCCUGGGGUCUGCCGGAGGUGCGGGCCCCAAGGCCAAGAGGGACCACGUCCCUCUCUGGCAAUUCAGUGGGAAAUCACAUUUUCUGAAUAUGCAGGAUAAAUUGUGGGGUAUGAUGCUAAAUUUGUAUGGCAUUUUAGGGUGAAGUGGGAAUCAUUUCGGGCAGGAACUUUCAGGACUGGGUCGGGAACUCUUUGGGCAGCGCCCCGCCCUCCAUGCCCCCGGGGUACACAUUCACACCCACCUCCGUGGAAGGUUGGAAUAGUGUAAUUGUGCGAGCCAUGCCACUGGCCGGCCUGUGGGCAGCACCCUCAUCAUGCCCCAACCCAGAGGCCACCCCACCCCGCCCCACCCCAGCCGUGUAUCAGGCACCGGCUGUCCAGGACAGCCCUCACCAUCCCCUCACGGUGUCGCUUCUUCCCCGGGCACACUUGGUGCCCCGCAGUGCCAGGCCAGUGGCAGGGCCCCGCCUUCUCCCGCCCCGUCCCUGUGUGGACGGCUUCUGAUUGUGCUGUGACCGAUGCCUAGUGGCCGCUGUUCCUCACCUGUCCCGCGAUUCUGUACUCUGCUCCUGUAACCCGCACCUGUAACCCGCUGCGCUGUGUGUAAAGCCCUGGCUCUGCUGAUGGCGGCCGGGUCUGUGCCGCGAGCUGCGCUUGGGACCCUGGCAGACCUCGGGGUCACUGAACUAACCGCAAUCUGAGUAGUUGCUUUGCCUCUCUGACCCUCGAGUCUUUUUCUCAGAGGUGUGCGUCCCUGGAUGGCCUACUCACAGGGGUUUGGGGAGGGCCCAAGGCCGGGUUUGCUGUGGCUGUGACAGUGCUUGUGCUGGUUUUACUUGGGGGAGGUCAUGCGUGGGUUGUGUGUGUCGUGCAUUUGUCUUCUGGGCAGCACUAGUGACAUGAGUGAAUAAAAAGGAUUGCCCUCUCUCUACCCAGCCGCCGAUGGGUUGUGUAGGACACAUGCCCAAGCAGGCUGCAGGGUCUCUGUGGUGGGGGCCGGGGCAAAUGUUUGUGCAGGUGGUGGGUGGUGGUUUCUCCCUGCUUGGGGUCUCCGAUAUCCCCUGACCCUUCCUCUCUUUCUUUCCUGGGCUGCUGCUUCCUGAGCUGGCUGGGCCACUGGCUUUGGGGACCUUGGGGGGCCAUCAUCUGCUGGGAGGUGCCCUGCUAAUGUGGCCUUCACAGCCACGGGGACGCCCGGCGCACGUUCCCACGGGACAGGCUGGACGCAAAGAUUCUGGACCGGGCCUCCCCUUGAGUAGCGAGGCACCCUCUGACUGAAGGACUUCACUGACCCCGGGGUCAGCCACCUCCCCUCCCCGAAUGCUGAGACUUGGGGGAACUGCGGACCCUCCACUGCCCACCUCUGUGACGUGGGCUUGGACUGCUGCCUCGUGUCCCAGGGCUGCUGCGAGGCGCUGGGACGCGGUUUCGACGCGCCGGCCUGGGCUCAACCUCUCGUGCUCUCAAUAAAUGUUUCUUGUCUUAACCAAA